rnacentral:rRNA from 1 species
GACGAACGCUGGCGGCGUGCUUAACACAUGCAAGUCGAACGGAAAGGCCCCCUUGUGGGGUACUCGAGUGGCGAACGGGUGAGUAACACGUGAGUAACCUACCCUUGACUUUGGGAUAACUUCAGGAAACUGGGGCUAAUACCGGAUAGGAGCUCCUGCUGCAUGGUGGGGGUUGGAAAGUUUCGGCGGUUGGGGCUGGACUCGCGGCUUAUCAGCUUGUUGGUGGGGUAGUGGCUCACCAAGGCUUUGACGGGUAGCCGGCCUGAGAGGGUGACCGGCCACAUUGGGACUGAGAUACGGCCCAGACUCCUACGGGAGGCAGCAGUGGGGAAUAUUGCACAAUGGGCGGAAGCCUGAUGCAGCAACGCCGCGUGCGGGAUGACGGCCUUCGGGUUGUAAACCGCUUUCGCCUGUGACGAAGCGUGAGUGACGGUAAUGGGUAAAGAAGCACCGGCUAACUACGUG